UAAAUUUUAAGUUAUAUAAACUUAGAGCCUUCAAAGCUUUCAAAAAGAAUUAUUCUUAAAUUUAA
rnacentral:tRNA from 1 species